UUAGUUCAUAUUUGUAUGGAAUGGGAUCGUUUGCGUACGAUUGCCGCUAGGGGCGUUGUUCCAACUGCAUACAAAAUUGGGCUA
rnacentral:pre_miRNA from 1 species